ACCAAGAUAUUGAUGUUAUACCUUAUCUUUCUUAAUUAAUGAAUUUUUAUAUUUCAUUAAAAAAAAAUGUUUUAGCCAUUGAUUUGUUGAUUGUGUUAGUUAAUUUUUAUUCCAAUUUCAGCACUACUCCAAAGUAGUUGAAGGGGCACAUUAAACAAGUGCAUCUUUGCUGCCGGAAGCCAGAGGUUGUUAUAUCUUAGAUCCAAUUUUGCAUACAAUUUGGUUUCACCACAAGGGGACAAAUAUUAAUUUUAAAAAGGUGUCAAGAAGUGGCACAUCUUAUCCUUCUAGCAUCGUCUCGGAAUAACAACUCAAGUUCGAUGCACUCUCCUAUUGCUUCAGUGCUACAAACAGAUAAGUUUGUGUCUCAUAUAAGGCCUCCUUCAUUUACUAGUCAAGAUCAUUUGGGGCUGCCUUCAGUCACUACGCGACAGCUGGAAUCUUUGAUGAGUGCUUUCUUUUAGAAAUGAAGCAAAAGCAACAAAUUCCUCCAUACUAUAAGUUGGGGUUUAGUCUGCAAGCCAAGGUCAGAGGAAGGUCUUGGUAUUCGAGGAUAAAGGAAGUUUGUACAGCGGGUGUUACAAAGUCUAGAAUCCCUAGCCUCUACGUCGACUCCAUUUUUUAUUAGUAUCUUCAUCAAGACUCGAUAUGGAUUGUUUGAUUGUGCUCAGGGUUCUUCUCCAGUUUGGAAGCAAAUGUUGAAGCUUAGGUAUCUUGUAAGAUGUGUGAUUAAAUCAAACAUCGAUGAUGGUAAUGCUACCUUCUUAUGACUUCAUCCCUGACAUCCCCCAUGGGGUUCUCCUCACCAAGUACAGUGGCCAGAUCAGGCAUGAUGCAGGUGCAACACGUAUGUCUUCUAUCCAAGUGGAGGGUCAAUAGUGUUCAGGACAAGCUCCCUUCCUCUUCUCCAUUGCUAGCAGUUCAAGAUACUUGUAGGAACCAUGUUAUGAGUCGUGUUAGAGCCUUCCAAUCUCCUUUCUUCCUAUAAUCUCCCCUAGGGGUCUCUCCUAUUUGUUGAGGCCUCUUUUCCGUGUUUUUUUCUCUUUCCCCCUUCUAGGCGUCGUUGUAUUUUUGCACUUCGUUGAAUAUAUAUUCUAUUGACCCAAAAAAAAAACAUGAAACGUUAAGUUUGACUC